ACCGAAAGCUUCAUGUGGAUGAUCCGUAGAGGCUAGACACACUGUAUGGCUAUGUUGCAAUGAUCAGACCUUUCAGACGAUGAUCAGAUUGCAGCGAUCGACUACCUGCACGAAGGUAAUGUGUUCUGAACAUAUAACAGUAAAUUAUUUACUGUAGAAGUUUGAAUUUCAAAUUUAAAUGCAUACUAUAUAUUAUAUUUAGAUCCUAGUGUAGGAUAAAUAUAUGUUAAUUAAUUAGAUUAAUUAAUAU
rnacentral:lncRNA from 1 species